ACACCAACAGCUGAUUAUUUUGCUGCUCCUUUAGAGGAAAACUUGUUUGAAUGGCAUUUCACAGUAAGAGGUCCUGAAGGUUCAGAUUUUCAGGAUGGAGUUUAUCAUGGAAGAAUUAU